ensembl:lincRNA
GGCCUGCUGGGGUGGGGAGAGCUGCUGUCUAAAUGAGCAUUUCGGCUUUUAUCGGCAACAGUGCGCUGUUACCUUGGAGAGCAGAGAAACUCUGAUUGGGUCGUGACGGGAGAGGAGCGUCUGAGGCUGUCACCCUGCCCUUAGCUGCCCAGAGGGUGCUGUGAGGUUUGACUCAAUCCCGGGACAGAUUGGGGCUGAGGGAUCAAAGGUAAGCAGUGUGAAGUCCCCCGCCCAGGACAGCGUGUGGAGAAUGAUGGUCUGGGAGCCAGAGGAACAGGAAGCCCUGGAGGCUCAUGCUGGCGGGGAGCUGUCCCCGGGGAUGGGAGGACCGCAGAAAUGGCGCAUGGCCACUCAAGGGGACGGACGUGUGCUCUAGAUGGCCGGUGUGGAGGGAGAAGAGAGAGACUCGGGCUGGCGGCAGAGUGUAGGUGACAGGGUCACCGGGGUGGGGCUGGGAAGGGGAAGGGCCUCGUGCUUUUGUUUCCGGACUGUGGGCUGUAGCUCUGGAAGGAGGCUCCGUCUUCGUCUCUGUGUCCAGCGGGGUCAGGACUGCUUCCUGCUUCCUGGCUUGGCUUGACGGGACAGAGAGGAGGAAAGGACGUGCUCGCGGCCACGCUGGACCUCACCGAGUCGCGGUCUCUGACGCCAUCUGGGAUGUCCUGCCAUCGCGCCUGGCCUCCUCCCGGCUUAACUUUCCCUCUUACCCAUCAACGCCGGCUGAUGCAACACAUUGUGCUCGAGGUCACCGGCUGACCCUGUCGCAAGAGCGGACGAUCUCCUGUUUCAUGCUCACUCUAGCCCCAGUGCCAGGCAUGCAGCAGGUGUCCAGUGCAUCGAUGUGUUUCUUCUUCUAGUGAACCGGCGUCCCCUGUGGCUCCUCCACGCCAGGCCACAAGCUAGGACACGAGGCUAAGGAGCAUCCUGGCUUCAUUCUUCAGGAAAAUGCUGAGACACACUUGUGAGCCCAGCGGUGUGGCCUGGUGUGGAGGGCGUGCUACCAGACUGAUGGCGGUAAAGAAGGAGAAGAGAGGCAGCAGGGAGCAGAGGCUGGGAGCCAGAGGGUAAGCGUCACUUUGCAACAGGAGGGAACAGCAGGGCGGGCAUAGAGGUGCUGGAGAGCACUGCGUACUCUUGAGGGAACUUAGCACACAUCCCUUCACGCUCGCCACUUUCCGAAGCAGUUCUGUGAGUCCUCUUUCGUGAGUGUCUUUAGAUGUUUCAUCGUAGGGGGCUCGGUGUGCUGAAUGGAUUCAAAACAUUUACCUUUCCCAACUUUAGGGAAGGCCGGAAGUCACAGAGUGCCAGAUCUGGGGAAUAAGGUGGAGGAGGGUUUGUGCUGUCAUGCGUUUAUUCAACAGAAAAUUUGUAAAUGUAAACUGCUUCAGAAAGUGGCAAGGAAGUUGGGAUAAGUAUGCUUCAAAUCGGGGUGUAUUUUGAGGGAGAUUAAUGGUAAUGAGUCUCAACCUCACAGUGAUCCUCCUGCCUCAGCCUCCCGAGUGCUGGGAUUACAGGCGUGAGACACCACACCCGGCAACAUUUUUAUUCUGGAUCUUAGCCAAGACUGAGAAGCAA